rnacentral:lncRNA from 1 species
UGCGCCUGUCAGAUGCGGAACGUACAGAUAAGGUAAUAGGUAACAGGUGAAUAUACAGACACUAUUGGUAUCGGUAUCGGACUCUACCCGGAACUUCUUAAUUAUUGGCAAUAUUAAUUACGUGGAAAACAAAAGGGCCUGGAGUGGUGUAAUUUUGAAUCUACACCUUUGUACUAUAUUAGUUAUAUAUAAAGUUGAAUUCUUUGAUUCGUCGUUUUAACUUG